rnacentral:rRNA from 1 species
GUCUUUUAGAUAAUAAUUUAAAGUCUAAUCUGNUCCAUGAAUUAUUUUAAAUAGCUGCAGUAAUUUGACUGUACAAAGGUAGCAUAAUCAAUAGUUUUUUAAUUGAAAGCUGGAAUGAAUGAUUUUAUGAAAUAUUAACUGUCUACAAAUUUAUUUAUAGAAUUUUUUUUAUUAAUAAAAAAAUUAAUAUGAUUUUAAAAGACGAGAAGACCCUAUAGAUUUUUAUUAAUUUAAAUAUAAUUAUUAUUUAUUUAAUUUAUUAAUUAAUUAUAAUUAAAUUAAUUUAAUUGGGGUAAUUUUUAAAUUUAAAUAAUUUUAAAAUUUUUAAACAAUAAUUCUUGAAUAAAUGAUCCUAAAUAUAGAUUAAAAAAAAUAAAUACCUUAGGGAUAACAGCGUAAUAUUAUUGGAGAGAUCAUAUUGAUAAUAAUGAUUGC